rnacentral:rRNA from 1 species
CCUACGGGAGGCAGCAGUGAGGAAUAUUGGUCAAUGGACGCAAGUCUGAACCAGCCAUGCCGCGUGCAGGAAGACGGCUCUAUGAGUUGUAAACUGCUUUUGUACGAGGGUAAACACAGAUACGCGUAUCUGUCUGAAAGUAUCGUACGAAUAAGGAUCGGCUAACGCCGUGACAGCAGCCGCGGUAAGACGGAGGAUUCAAGCGUUAUCCGGAUUUAUUGGGUGUAAAGGGUGCGUAGGCGGUCGGAUAAGUUUGAGGUGAAAUCCCGAGGCUCAACUUCGGAAUUGCCUCUGAUACUGUUCGUCUAGAGAGUAGUUGCGGUAGGCGGAAUGUAUGGUGUAGCGGUGAAAUGCUUAGAGAUCAGACAGAACACCGAUUGCGAAGGCAGCUUACCAAGCUACUUCUGACGUUGAGGCACGAAAGCGUGGGGAGCAAACAGGAUUAGAUACCCUAGUAGUC